ensembl:snRNA U2 U2 spliceosomal RNA
AUCGCUUCUCAGCCUUUUGGCUAAGAUCAAGUGUAAAAUAAUUAUUUCAAGUUUUGUGAAUUAUUUUAACAUCCAAAGUUUCAAAUAAACAUACUGGUUACCAUUCUAACUGGAUGGAAAUCAU